GAUGAAGAACGCAGUGAAAUGCGAUAAGUAAUGUGAAUUGCAGAAUUCAGUGAAUCAUCGAAUCUUUGAACGCACAUUGCGCCCCCUGGUAUUCCGGGGGGCAUGCCUGUUCGAGCGUCAUUUCACCACUCAAGCCUCGCUUGGUAUUGGGCAACGCGGUCCGCCGCGUGCCUCAAAUCGUCCGGCUGGGUCUUCUGUCCCCUAAGCGUUGUGGAAACUAUUCGCUAAAGGGUGUUCGGGAGGCUACGCCGUAAAACAACCCCAUUUCUAAGGUUGACCUCGGAUCAGGUAGGGAUACCCGCUGAACUUAAGCAUAUCAAUAAGCGGAGGA
rnacentral:misc_RNA from 1 species